rnacentral:rRNA from 1 species
UACGUAGGGUGCAAGCGUUAAUCGGAAUUACUGGGCGUAAAGCGUGCGCAGGCGGUUGGGCAAGACAGAUGGGAAAUCCCCGGGCUCAACCUGGGAACUGCAUUUGUGACUGCACGGCUGGAGUGCGGCAGAGGGGGAUGGAAUUCCGCGUGUAGCAGUGAAAUGCGUAGAUAUGCGGAGGAACACCGAUGGCGAAGGCAAUCCCCUGGGCCUGCACUGACGCUCAUGCACGAAAGCGUGGGGAGCAAACAGG